AACACAAGACAAGAGGAGUGCUAGACUACAUCCAUUCAGAUUUAUGGGGUCCCUCUAAACUUCCAUCGAAGGGCAGAAAGAGGUAUCUUCUCACUUUUAUUGAUGAUUUCUCACGAAAGGUUUGGGUAUAUUGAAAGGGUUCUCGAGAGAUUCAAUAUGCAUACGUGCAAGCCUGUAAGUACACCAUUAGCUCCUCAUUUUAAACUUUCAGAGUUACAAAUGCCUCAGUCCGAGGAUGAGGUGGAGCAUAUG